GUGGGGAAUAUUGGACAAUGGGCGAAAGCCUGAUCCAGCCAUGCCGCGUGUGUGAAGAAGGUCUUCGGAUUGUAAAGCACUUUAAGUUGGGAGGAAGGGCAGUAAGUUAAUACCUUGCUGUUUUGACGUUACCGACAGAAUAAGCACCGGCUAACUUCGUGCCAGCAGCCGCGGUAAUACGAAGGGUGCAAGCGUUAAUCGGAAUUACUGGGCUUAAAGCGCGCGUAGGUGGUUUUGUAAGUUGGAGGUGAAAUCCCCGGGCUCAACCUGGGAACUGCAUCCAAAACUGCAUGACUAGAGUACGGUAGAGGGUAGUGGAAUUUCCUGUGUAGCGGUGAAAUGCGUAGAUAUAGGAAGGAACACCAGUGGCGAAGGCGACUACCUGGACUGAUACUGACACUGAGGUGCGAAAGCGUGGGGAGCAAACAGGAUUAGAUACCCGAGUAGUCC
rnacentral:rRNA from 1 species